UACGUAGGGAGCGAGCGUUGUCCGAAGUUACUGGGCGUAAAGCGCGCGUAGGCGGGCCGUUAAGUGAGAGGUGAAAUUCCAGGGCUCAACCCCGGAACUGCCUCUCAUACUGUCGGUCUUGAGUGAGGUAGAGAGAAGUGGAAUGGCUGGUGUAGCGGUGAAAUGCGUAGAUAUCAGGAGGAACACCUGUGGUGUAGACGGCUUACUGGACCAUGACUGACGCUGAGGCACGAAAGCGUGGGGAGCAAACAGG
rnacentral:rRNA from 1 species